AGUUUUGACAAAUAAGCACGUUUUGGAAUAAGUGCUUUCUGGUUUUUCAAGUCAACUAAGAACAAAACAAAUAAGCACUUUACAAUGGAUUUAUGGACCAAAUCACUACAGAAGAUAAUCUCUUUUGGGAUCAACAACAUGUGAUGGAAUUUAAGUAUAUGCUUUCCUAGUCACAUAUCAUGAAGAAAACCAUGAGCUUGAUCAAUUGUGGUAUUGGCCAACCAAUGAAUACAUCUGAUAUAAUAUUAUGGACCAAUCACAAAAGAACAACCAGAUUUUAACUAUGAGUUGUAUUGUACUUAUGCAA
rnacentral:lncRNA from 1 species